GGCGGCGUGCUUAACACAUGCAAGUCGAACGAUGAAGCCUUCGGGGUGGAUUAGUGGCGAACGGGUGAGUAACACGUGGGCAAUCUGCCCUUCACUCUGGGACAAGCCCUGGAAACGGGGUCUAAUACCGGAUAACACGUUUCCUCCUGGACGGGGGUUAAAAGCUCCGGCGGUGAAGGAUGAGCCCGCGGCCUAUCAGCUUGUUGGUGAGGUAAUGGCUCACCAAGGCGACGACGGGUAGCCGGCCUGAGAGGGCGACCGGCCACACUGGGACUGAGACACGGCCCAGACUCCUACGGGAGGCAGCAGUGGGGAAUAUUGCACAAUGGGCGAAAGCCUGAUGCAGCGACGCCGCGUGAGGGAUGACGGCUUCGGGUUGUAAACCUCUUUCAGCAGGGAAGAAGCGAAAGUGACGGUACCUGCAGAAGAAGCGCCGGCUAACUACGUGCCAGCAGCCGCGGUAAUACGUAGGGCGCAAGCGUUGUCCGGAAUUAUUGGGCGUAAAGAGCUCGUAGGCGGCUUGUCACGUCGGGUGUGAAAGACCGGGGCUUAACCCCGGGUCUGCAUUCGAUACGGGCUAGCUAGAGUGUGGUAGGGGAGAUCGGAAUUCCUGGUGUAGCGGUGAAAUGCGCAGAUAUCAGGAGGAACACCGGUGGCGAAGGCGGAUCUCUGGGCCAUUACUGACGCUGAGGAGCGAAAGCGUGGGGAGCGAACAGGAUUAGAUACCCUGGUAGUCCACGCCGUAAACGGUGGGAACUAGGUGUUGGCGACAUUCCACGUCGUCGGUGCCGCAGCUAACGCAUUAAGUUCCCCGCCUGGGGAGUACGGCCGC
rnacentral:rRNA from 1 species